UGUUGUGCUGGUGUCCUGUGAGCAAGUGCUGCCCAUUAAGGUGGUUUGGAAUGUGCAUCCUGGUGCCUGGACAUACAACUCCCUCCGGAUCCCACCAGCAACUGCUGCUCACGCUGGAGGCACCCAGAGGAGCCUGUGCUCCAGGACAUUCCCUGUGCUUGCUGCCUGUGAACCUGGGAACAUUUCACUGAUUGUUUCUUCCACAGGCUGCUUCCAGUACCUGGGACUUCACCUGACUUCCAUGACUUCAAGUAUCAUGGAGAAUGGCUUGGUAACUACACCAGCCAUUCCCUCAGGACUCUAGGACACAUCUCACCACAGACUCAGUUUUCCAGAAUUUCUGUCACCAGUGAACCCCAGUGACUGAACCUCCAGUGACUGAUGCUGUCCCCAGUUUCAGUACCUUCCCAGGGAGUGUGGAUCCUGCAAGGACAAUCAGGAGAACUCAGCCAGUACUGGCUGGGUCAUAUGCCAUCACCUCAGUCACCAGGUGGGGAGCCCACAGGGUCCUACCUGGGCUCCCAGAUUACUAUCAAAAUGGGUUUGCUUGCAUUUUUCAUCUAGCUUGUGUAUGUGUACCAGAAAAAAGGCAGGAGAAGUUGGUACUACCUAAAACCCCUCUGCUACUGCCAGCAAUAAAGGUGCCUAUAUGCUGGGAGCACAAGCAGGACUCCAUGUCACAACCCUAUUUUUUCUCUAUUAAACUGCCUUCAUUGUGAACCACA